GGAAAGAUGGCUUAGUGGUUAAGAGCACUGACUGCUCUUCCAGAGGACCUGGGUUCAAUUCCCAGUAUUCA
rnacentral:tRNA from 1 species